rnacentral:rRNA from 1 species
GACGAACGCUGGCGGCGUGCCUAAUACAUGCAAGUCGAACGCACAGUUUAUACCGUAGCUUGCUACACCAUAGACUGUGAGUUGCGAACGGGUGAGUAACGCGUAGGUAACCUGCCUGGUAGCGGGGGAUAACUAUUGGAAACGAUAGCUAAUACCGCAUAAUAUUGAUUAUUGCAUGAUAAUUGAUUGAACGAUGCUAUUGCAUCACUACCAGAUGGCCCUGCGUUGUAUUAGUUAGUAGGGGAGGUAACGGCUCACCUAGGCGACGAUACAUAGCCGACCUGGGAGGGUGAUCGGCCACACUGGGACUGAGACACGGCCCAGACUCCUACGGGAGGCAGCAGUAGGGAAUCUUCGGCAAUGGACGAAAGUCUGACCGAGCAACGCCGCGGGAGUGAAGAAGGUUUUCGGAUCGUAAAGCUCUGUUGUAAGAGAAGAACGGGUGUGAGAGUGGAAAGUUCACACUGUGACGGUAUCUUACCAGAAAGGGACGGCUAACUACGUG